UAAUUUGCUUGAAGUUUUUAUUUUAUUAAAGGUUUACUUUAUAGGGCUAAAGAUUAAGGGUUUCUAAUGGUUGGAUUUGUACAAAACUUGUUACAGGGGGUAGGGGAUUAGAUUUGUGCCAGCAUCCGCGGUCAUACUCUUUCUAUAAAAUUUAGUAUUUUCUUAGGAUUUUUGUGUUUUUAUAACUUGGUGGGUGAAAUUUAAAGUUUGUUAAUUGUGUUUCGAAGGUUGUAAUCGGUUGUAGGACUAGGAUUAGAUACCCUAUUACUCUGAGGUUACACUAAAGUAGUAACUGAUGCUCAGCAAACUUAAUUAUUCUGGCGGUUCGUUAUUUUUACAGAGGAGCUUGUAGAUUUAAAUCGAUACCCCUCUUUUAAGUUUACCACUUUUAUUUUUAUGUACGGCUGUUUAGCUUUAAAUUAGAUUUUAUUACCAAAUAUAUUUAUUAUAUGAAUUCAGGUCAAUGUGUAGAGCAUAGAGUGGAGUGUUAUGAGCUACUUAUUUUGGAAAGAUUUUUUGACAUUUUGAAAAUUGGAUUUGUUAGUAAACUUUUUAUAAAAUUUGAAGUUGGUGAAAAUUUUAGCGGAAGCACAUAUCGCCCGUCACUCUUUUGAUAGAUAAGUCGUAACAAAGUAGAAGUACUGGAAGGUGCUUCUUGU
rnacentral:rRNA from 1 species